rnacentral:rRNA from 1 species
AUGGCUUCCCACCCAUCGUCGCCGCUGCCGGAACACCCUAUACCACCCGCUCCCACCACCAUAAGUGACCUCGGCGACGACCAGCUCCAAGAGAUCCUCAUCCGCCUUCCCGACCUCCCCAGCCUCGCCUCUGCCGCCUUCACCUGCCACGCCUUCCUCGGCGCCGUCCGCUCGUCCCGCGCCUUCCGCCGCCGCUUCAUCGCGCUCCACGCGGCCCCGCUCCUCCCUCGCUUCCUCUCACACACAAUAACUGCCUUCCCGGCCUUACGGCGCUCCUCCGCCAGAUUCACUCCACUCAAAGACGAUGACACUUCCGAGUGGGUGGUCAAUUUCUCCGAUCCUUCGAUUGCCUACAACGGCUCCAUCGCCAUCAAACACCGGAGCACCAUGCAGGGAGUUUGGUACAACCCCCAAAUGAUGGCCCUGUUUCUCCGCCCCAAGGAGCACCACGACUUGCCCGACGGCACCAUCCUUCGGUUCCACACAUUCUCCUCCGAAGAUGAUCAGAGGCCGUCCCGUGUGGUAUGUGUCCGUCACGACUACUCACGGCCUUGCGCGCGCGUUGCUGUCUUCUCAUCGGACACCAUGGAGUGGCAGCUUUUCCCGGAGAUCGCGACGCUGCCGCCUCAGGGCUUCAGGAGCACAGCUAGCACCGUGCUGGAUGGGUUUAUAUGUUGGCAAUGCGAGUCCAUUAACGGGGUGGCUAUCAGCGAGUACAUUUUCGUGCUCAACACAGACACAUUUCAGUUCUCUCGAAUGGAUCUGCCGCCGCCCUUGAGAAAGGUACGUCAAACAUUUCAGAUUGGUCAGAUCAAUGAUGGGAAGCUCUGUAUCGUAAAUGAGAAGGAAUGCACGUUUAGCCUUUGGAUCUGGACAGCCAGCGAUGACGGCAUUGAGAGAUUUGUGCUGCACAAGACGUUCCCGUUGUACACUCGCUUUAUGGAUGUCACCAACUGUUCAGUGAAAGAUACAAUCUCAGUGCGGCUUAUGACGGUUUUCAAUGGCUUUUUGUACUUUGCAAUUCGCCCAUGGAGAAAUUACGUGCAUCAGUUCAAAUCCCCUGAGUGGUUCAUGUCCUUGUCUCUGGAAACAGGGGAGCUGAAGCAGCAUCUUAAGAAUAGAAAGCAGCCUAUCUUCCCGGUCCAUCCCUACUCGGUCUGGCCUCCUUUUAUGGAAUACAUCUCGGAGGAUUCAAAAUCUGAGGUUACUGGAAACAGUGUCGAAGAUGGUUCUGAGAUCACAGGAAAGGAGUCGUUUGUCCUUAUAAAAGCAUUACGAUCAUAUAAAGAAGCUUUGAUAAAGGAUGGCAACGCAAAUGUUGCCGAGAUAGAGGCCUUCUCGCUUUGCAUUGACAUUGAGGACGAGAAGAACUCUCUUGUGAGGAAAAUCAUGGCUUUAGAUGAACUGUUAAGAACUGUGAGAGAUCGUGUCUUGAGGGCGGGUGCAGACCCUGAACUCGCAGACUGUGAAUUCUACAGACAGAAGAUCAAACCAGAGAGCUGGUGGAAAAUGUGCAAGGGAAAGUUAUGGAGAGGUUUCUGCGCUAGCUGA